CAGUCGCCGCGGUAAUACAGAGGGUGCGAGCGUUAAUCGGAAUUACUGGGCGUAAAGCGCGCGUAGACGGUUUUGUAAGUCAGAUGUGAAAUCCCUGGGCUUAACCUGGGAACUGCAUUUGAUACUGCAUGGCUAGAGUAUCGAAGAGGGAAGUGGAAUUUCCGGUGUAGCGGUGAAAUGCGUUGAGAUCGGAAAGAACACCAACGGCGAAAGCACUCUGCUGGGCCGACACUGACACUGAGAGACGAAAGCUAGGGGAGAAAAUGGGAUUAGAUACCCCUGUAGUCCCUGUCUCUUAUAC
rnacentral:rRNA from 1 species